CCCCUAGAUGUUCUGGGCCGCACGCGCGCUACACUGAACAGUUCAACAAGUCUUAACCUUGGCCGAUAGGUCUGGGUAAUCUUUGAACGCUGUUCGUGAUUGGGAUAGACCUUUGCAAUUAUGGGUCUUCAACGAGGAAUUCCUAGUAAACGCAAGUCAUCAGCUUGCAUUGAUUACGUCCCUGCCCUUUGUACACACCGCCCGUCGCACCUACCGAUUGAAUGGUCCGGUGAAAUCUCGGGACGGCGGCUUGGUCGCUUGCGUCCGACUGCUGAAACUUGAUUAAACCAUAUCAUUUAGAGGAGGUGAAGUCGUAACA
rnacentral:rRNA from 1 species